rnacentral:tRNA from 1 species
UCCCUGGUGGCUCAGAGGUUAAAGCUGCUGCCUGCAAUGCAGGAGACCUGGGUUUGAUCCCUGGGUUGGGAA